rnacentral:rRNA from 1 species
UUGAGUUAUAUUUAAAGUCUAACCUGCCCACUGAAAAUUUUUGAAUGGCCGCAGUAAUUUGACUGUGCAAAGGUAGCAUAAUCAUUAGUUUUUUAAUUAAAAGCUUGUAUGAAAGGUUGAACGAAGUAAAAUCUGUCUCUAUUUAAUUAAAUUUAGAAUUUAAUUUUUAAGUUAAAAAGCUUAAAUAUUUGUAAAAGACGAGAAGACCCUAUAGAGCUUUAUAAUUUAUUAAAUAUAAUUAUUUAAGAUUAUUUUAAGUUUUAUUAUAUAAAUUAUUUUAUUGGGGUAAUAUAAAGAUUUAAAUAAUUCUUUUUUUUUAUUAACACUAAUUUGUGAUAUAAUGAUCCAUUUUUAUUGAUUAAAAGAUUAAGUUACCUUAGGGAUAACAGCGUAAUUUUUUUAAAGAGUUCAUAUCGAUAAAAAAGUUUGCGACCUCGAUGUUGGAUUAAAGAUUAGUUUAGGUGUAGAAGUUUAAAUUUUUGGUCUGUUCGACCAUUAAAUCUUUACAUGAUCUGAGUUCAGACCGGUGUAAGCCAGGUCGGUUUCUAUCUUUAUUAAAUUUAAAUAUUUCAGUACGAAAGGACCAAAUAUUUAAUAUAUUUAUAUUUUAUUUUUUGAAUAUUAAU